CUUCCUUUGUACUUGUUGAUGAAGCAUCUCCAUAUCUCUGAUUUCUUGAUCUAACUCGUCUUCUGGUGGUGUCGGGCUGACAGCCUUCCUUUUCUGGCUUCGGGCCUCCCGCAGGGAGACUGCCUCCUGAUUGUGGUCCAGUGGUUGCAGAGCUGCAGCCCCAGUCGCUGAAGCCUUCUUCGGCGCCAUAACGAAAGUUUAUGAUCGCCGAAGGUGUUCAAAAAACUCAGAGUGGAAGUGAGUUCACCGGAGGUGGGCGCCAAUGUUGGGGACUUGUUCUCAAAUGCUAUGAGUUAAGAACAAGGCAACAUAGAAAAUGUUAAUCGUUAAAGUCCUUCGUCCUUCGAAACAUUAUUUCCCUUUGGGUAUAAUGGUUUCCGGACGAAGGUUAUGAAGGGUAUACCUUCAUACAUUCAUUAUAUAAUGACGAAGGGUGAAAUGUAAGGAAUAUAGAUGACAACAUGAACAAUUAUGUAUUGUUAUUAAGCAUAAACAGAAAUAUUGUUGAAUUACAAGUGUACCUUCAACUGGAAGGAGAUGAUAGUACAAAUGUGACGCAAAAAGCGAAUGCCAAGUCAGCGUGAACAGUACGGGGGUACUGUUCACCUAUUUAUAGGCGCGGGACACAAUCCAUACAAAAUUACAUUCAUGCCCUCUACACUUGAUAAUAAUUCUAUAGUAAUUUGUCGAGGUCCAAAUAGCCUUUUUAUCUUUAAGUCGGUUCCUCCUUCUGCUGUCACGCCGAAGCUUUCCUGCUUACACCUUCGGCGCUGCAACAACCUUCGUAUUAUUCUGGUUUACUGUGAUGCCGACUUGAGUCCGAAGAUACCUGUUCACACAUUAUACUCCAGAAAUACUAUUAAAUUCUGUUUUUGAGGACCUUCGGAUGCCGAAGGUCCCCAACAGUGUUCACCAUCCACACAAGAACAUCAUGACGACCGACAGGCCGCUUGAGCUACUCCACAUGCACCUAUUCGGCCCGAUAGCUUACAUAAGCAUCGGCGGGAGUAAGUAUUGUCUUGUAAUUGUGGAUGAUUAUUCUCACUUCACUUGGGUGUUCUUUUUGCAGGAAAAAUCACAAACCCAAGAGACCUUAAAGGGAUUCUUGAGACGAGCUCAAAAUGAGUUCGGCUUAAGAAUCAAAAAGAUUAGAAGCGACAAUGGGACGGAGUUCAAGAACUCACAAAUCGAAAGCUUUCUUGAGGAGGAGGGCAUCAAGCAUGAGUUUUCUUCUCCCUACACGCCACAACAAAAUGGUGUAGUGGAGAGGAAGAAUAGAACCCUAUUGGACAUGGCAAGGGCCAUGCUUGAUGAGUACAAGACUUCGGAUCGGUUUUGGGCCGAGGCGGUCAACACCGCCUGCUACGCCAUCAACCGGUUAUAUCUACACCGAAUUCUCAAGAAGACAUCGUAUGAACUCCUCACCGGUAAAAAGCCCAAUGUUUCAUAUUUUAGAGUCUUUGGAAGCAAAUGCUUUAUUCUUGUUAAAAGAGGUAGAAAAUCUAAAUUUCUCCUAAGGCUGUAGAAGGCUUUUUACUUGGUUAUGAUUCAAACACAAGGGCAUAUAGAGUCUUUAACAAGUCCACUGGACUAGUUGAAGUUUCUUGUGACAUUGUGUUUGAUGAGACUAACGGCUCUCAAGUGGAGCAAGUUGAUCUUGAUGAGCUAGAUGAUGAAGAGGCUCCGUGCGUCGCGCUAAGGAACAUGUCCAUUAGGGAUAUGUGUCCUAAGGAAUCCGAAGAGCCUCCACAUGCACAAGAUCAACCAUCUUCCUCAAUGCAAGCAUCUCCACCAACUCAAGAUGAGGAUCAAGCUCAAGAUGAUGAUGAAGAUCAAGAGGAGCCACCUCAAGAGGAGGACAAUGAUCAAGAGGGAGAUGCUAAUGAUCAAGACAAGGAAGAUGAUGAGGGUCCAAGACCGCCACACCUAAGAUUCCACCAAGAAAUCCAACGAGAUCACCCCGUGAACACCAUCCUCGGCGACAUUCAUAAUGGGGGUAACCACUCGAUCUCGUGUUGCUCAUUUUUGUGAACAUUACUCUUUUGUUUCCUCUAUUGAGUCACACAGGAUAGAGGAAGCACUUCAAGAUUUGGAUUGGGUGCUGGCGAUGCAAGAGGAGCUCAACAACUUCACGAGAAAUGAGGUAUGGCAUUUAGUUCCACGUCCUAACCAAAAUGUUGUAGGAAUCAAGUGGGUCUUCCGCAACAAGCAAGAUGAGCAUGGUGUGGUGACAAGGAACAAAGCCCGACUUGUGGCCAAGGGAUAUUCACAAGUCGAAGGUUUGGAUUUCGGUGAAACCUAUGCACCCGUAGCUAGGCUUGAGUCAAUUCGUAUAUUACUUGCCUAUGCUACUUACCAUGGCUUUAAGCUUUAUCAAAUGGACGUGAAAAGUGCCUUCCUCAAUGGACCAAUCAAGGAGGAGGUCUAUGUUGAGCAACCUCCCGGCUUUGAAGACAGUGAGUACCCUAACCAUGUCUAUAAACUCUCUAAGGCGCUUUAUGGGCUUAAGCAAGCCCCAAGAGCAUGGUAUGAAUGCCUAAGAGAUUUUCUUAUCGCUAAUGGCUUCAAAGUUGGAAAAGCCGAUCCUACUCUCUUCACUAAAACACUUGCAAAUGAUUUGUUUGUAUGCCAAAUUUAUGUUGAUGAUAUCAUAUUUGGGUCUACUAACGAAUCUACAUGUGAAGAGUUUAGUAGGAUCAUGACUCAAAAAUUCGAGAUGUCAAUGAUGGGGGAGUUGAAGUAUUUCUUAGGAUUUCAAGUGAAGCAACUCCAAGAGGGCACCUUCCUUAGCCAAACGAAGUACAUUCAAGACAUACUCACCAAGUUUGGGAUGAAGGAUGCCAAGCCCAUCAAGACACCCAUGGGAACUAAUGGGCAUCUCGACCUCGACAUGGGAGGUAAAUCCAUAGAUCAAAAGGUAUACCGGUCGAUGAUAGGUUCUUUAAUCUAUUUAUGUGCAUCUCGACCGGAUAUUAUGCUUUCCGUAUGCAUGUGUGCAAGAUUCCAAGCCGAUCCUAAGGAAGUUCACCUUAGGGCCGUAAAACGAAUCUUGAGAUAUUUAGUUUAUACUCCUAAGUUUGGCCUUUGGUACCCCAGGGGAUCCACAUUUGAUUUGAUUGGUUAUUCUGAUGCUGAUUGGGCAGGGUGUAAAAUUAAUAGAAAGAGCACAUCAGGGACUUGCCAGUUCUUGGGAAGAUCUCUUGUGUCUUGGGCUUCAAAGAAGCAAAAUUCUGUCGCUCUUUCUACUGCCGAAGCCGAGUAUAUUACCGCAGGCCAUUGUUGCGCGCAAUUGCUUUGGAUGAGGCAAACCCUUAGGGACUAUGGUUACAAAUUAACCAAAGUUCCUCUUCUAUGUGAUAAUGAGAGUGCAAUCCGCAUGGCGGAUAAUCCCGUUGAGCAUAGCCGCACUAAACACAUAGCCAUUCGGUAUCAUUUCUUAAGGGAUCACCAACAAAAGGGGAUAUCAAGAUUGCAUAUGUUAACACCAAAGAACAAUUAGCCAAUAUCUUUACCAAGCCAUUAGAUGAGCAAACUUUUACCAAACUUAGACAUGAGCUAAAUAUUCUUGAUUCUAGGAAUUUUGAUUGAUAUUUUGCACACAUUGCUCAUUUAUAUACCUUUGAUCAUAUCUCUUUCUUUGCUAUGACUAAUGUGGUUUUCAAGUGUAUUUCAAGCUAAGUCAUAGAUUGAAAGGGAAAAGGAGUCUUCGGCGAAGACAAGGCUUCCACUCCACUCCAUCGAUUAUUCAUCCUUCGCCGUCGCUCCGCAAUACACUCUCCAAUUUGGUAUAAUCUUCACUCAUAUGUUAUUUACCAUAAGGGAGAAAGUAGUUGAAAAGGGCUUAUAUUUCACUCAAAGUAUCCGUUUUUGGCGAUUCAUGCCAAAGGGGGAGAAAGUAUGAGCCCAAAGCAAAAGGACCGCACCACCACCACCACCAAUUUCAAAAAUGUAGUCUUUCAAAAUUGUGUUAAGAAAAGAUUUUUCAAUUGGUGAUUUUUUCAAUUGGUAUCUUAAUUGUGAUAUAAUUUCAAAUUGGUAUACCCUCUCUCAAAAUUAAUAUCUAAAACCCUCUUGAACACUAAGAGGAGGUUUUAUUAAUGGGGAGUUUUGUUUAGUCAAAGGAAAAGCAUUUAAAUAGGGGGAGAAAAUUUCAAAACUUGAAAAUGCUUCUCAAAAUCUUAUUCAUAUACCUUUGACUAUUUGCAAAAAGACUUUGAAAAGAAUUUCCAAAACUUUACAAAACAAAACAAGUGGUGCAAGCAUGGUCCAAAAUUUUAAAUUAGAAGAAAGCCAUCCAUGCAUAUCUAGUAGAAAUAAUUAUUGAUUUCAUUCCAAGUAACCUUUGCACUUACAUUAUGCAAACUAGUUCAAUUCUACGCUUUUGUAUUUGCUUUGGUUUGUGUUGGCAUCAAUCACCAAAAAGGGGGAGAUUGAAAGGGAAAUAGGCUUACACCUUUUCCUAAUUGAUUUUGGUGGUUGAAUUGCCCAACACAAAUAAUUGGACUAACUAGUUUGCUCUAGACUAUAAGUUUUACAGGUGCCAAAGGUUCACAACAAACCAAUAAAAAGACCAAGAAAGGGUUCAGACAAAGAGAGCAAGAGACAACCGAAGUAUGCCCUGGUCUAGUGCACCAGACUGUCCGGUGUGCCACCGGACAGUGUCCGGUGCACCAGGGAAUUCCAGUUUGAACUUGCCACCUUCGGGAAUUCUGGGAGCCGCUCCGCUAUAAUUCACCGAACUAUCCGGUGUAGCAUCGGACUGUCCGGUGCACCAGCGGAGUAACGGCUACACAGCGCCAAUGGUCGUUUGCAGGAACAAUAAAUGCGCUAUAGUGUGCGCCUGCGCGCGCAGAAGUCAGGACAGGCGCCAGAAGGCGCACCGGAUAGUGAACAGUGACUGUCCGGUGCACCACCGGACUGUCCGAUGGCCCAGAAGACAGAGGCUCCAACGGUCGAACCCUAACGGUCGGGUGACGUGGCUGGCGCACCGGACUGUCCGGUGCGCCAUGCGACAGCAGCCUCCACUAACGGCUCGUUUGGUGGUUGGGGCUAUAAAUACCCCCAACCACCCACCAUUCAUUGCAUCCAAGUUUUCAGCCUUCACACCUCAUACAAGAGCUAUAGCAUUCAAUACAAGACACAAACUAGAGAUCAAAUCCUCUCCCAAGUCCAAAGACAAUUCCAAUCAAAUAGUGACUAGUGAGAGAGAUACUUGUGUUCAUUUGAGCUCUUGCGCUUGGAUUGCUUUUCUUCUUCAUUCUUUCUUGAUUCCAACUCAAUUGUAACCAAGGCAAGGGACACCAAUUAUGUGGUGGUCCUUGUGGGGACUUAGUGUCCCGUUUGAUUGAGAAGAGAAGCUCACUCGGUCUAGGUGACCGUUUGAGAGAGGGAAAGGGUUGAAAGAGACCCGGUCUUUGUGACCACCUCAACGGGGAGUAGGUUUGCAAGAACCGAACCUCGGUAAAACAAAUCACCGUGUCAUCCGCUCUUAUUCGCUUGUGAUUUGUUUUCCCCCUCUCUCUUGGACUCAUUUAUAUUUCUAACGCUAACCCCGGCUUGUAGUUGUGCUUAAAGUUUGUAAAUUUCAGAUUCACCCUAUUCACCCCCCCAUCUAGGCAACUUUCAGCUUCCCCAUCAGCCAAUUCUCCCAAGUGUGCUAUGAAUUGGCUUAUAUGUUCGUACGUUCUUUUCCCACCUUCACCAGAAAAUUUAGAGAAGUAUGGUAUCCUAGUCCCCUGUGGAUACGGCACGGUGUCGAAUCGGUGGCUAUAAGGCUCCCGAUACGAUUGCCCUAUACUUGACACACUAACACCGAGUUUGUCAUUGAACAUUCCAGCUACCUCAUCUCUGAUCGUCUUCGCCAUGUCUGGCGACCAUCCAUUAAGUUUGUGGGUGGAAAUCUCAGGUUACCUGACAUCACUCUGUCAGCUUUCCUCCCAGGGAUGUCUGAGGUGUGUGUUAGAUGUCCUAUUAAUGUCACGAGCUCCUGCCCUAUACCUCUCAGGCUCUCUAGUGGCCGAACAGUAUUCAACCUUGUGUCCAUGAGGUGGUCAGGCAUGGUUAUAAUGUGUUGCUGGUGGGGCACCAUAGUGUUGCUGUGAUGAGUGUGGGAACGGUUGUGCAGCUCUUGAUUCUGCAUACGCAUACCCGGACGGUCCGGCGUAAGGGGCCGGAUGGUCCGCGACCGGGCCAAAUGGUCUGAAGGUGUGUCCAGACUUUCUAGUCGUACAUGGUGCUGCCUGGGUAGUCUCGUACCCGGACCGUCCGUCAUAAAGGGCUGGACGGUUUGCGAUCGGGUCGAAUGGUCCAGGGCUGUACCUGGACAAUUCGGUCAUAUAUGGGCGACUUGGGUAGUCUGCGCGUGGACUCGUGUAGAGUCGGAAAGUCCAGCGUAAUACGCCGGUCGAUUCAUGCCAUAUCCGGACGGUCCGGUGUAAGAUAGCGGACGAUCCGCUACAUAUCCGGACGGUCCGACCUAAGGUACCGGACGGUCCGCGGCAUAUCCAGACGGUCCGGCGUAAUGUACCGAACGGUCUGUGAUGGGGCUGAUUUGUUCGGGGUUGUACCCGGAUGGUCCAGCCAUGCACGGUGCGAUCUGAGCAUUUUGUGUGCGGGCCUGCGUCGGGUCAAACGGUCCGGCGAAAUACGUCGGAUGGUCCGCGGUAUAACCGGACUGUCUGAGAUGAUGCUUGGACGGUCCGACCGCGUCCAGUACUUGCCGCGUGCCUAAUGGCGGUGGCUGUGAUGGUGACACAAAAGCGUGCAUCGGCAUACCAUAUGAUGGUUGGGUCAAGGGUGACCCAUUUGUAGCCGAUGUGCUUGGCGCGGGUGGCUCUGUAUUAGACUCACGCGAUGGAAAACUAGGAGCGGUUGAUUUCUCGUAUGAACGUAAAUGCAUUUUAAUAGAUUCAUCUAUGUAUUGCUUUAACUAAUCUCCUCGUUGAUCCAUGAAAGUUGUAAGAGAUAGAUCUGGAGUACUUAUAGCAGGACCCUGAAGUGGAGGUAGGAGAGAUUUCAUAUCGAUCUCCCCUUGACAGAUGAUCUUCUGGUGGCGAUCCACCGUGAAGUUUGACAAAUACUUUUCUGCCGCCUCCUUACGCCGUUCGGAGAGUUUAUGCAGCAAUUCCGCCUCCUCCUUGUCACAUUGUUCGUUCCAUUGCCGCAUCACCUCCUUCUCAUCUCGCAUUAUGAGGUCCUCAAAGGGUCUUUGUGAAAGGGAAAUGUGCCCUUGGGCCAUUUCUAUAAGUAUUUUGGUGAUUAGAUGUCCAACACAUAUUAAGUAAGUUCUUAUGUGCCAAAUGAGUGAGAAGUGUGAGAUCAAGAACAAGGUAUGUUUCUAGACUUAGUGAAUUGUUUUUGCAUACUAACAUGGUUAUCUAAGUGCUAGAAACAGUGCCAAGAAAAGAAGAUUUGAAUUGGAGAAGAGCUGGCAAAGUACAGCCAACAACAACUCGGGCCUGGCACACCGGACUGUCCCAGGCUGAUCAACGGUGAACUGGCUGCUCUCGGGGAAAGAGAAAGGCGAUGUGGCCAUAAUUCACCGGACUGUCUGGUGGUGCACCGGACUGUCCGGUGAGUCAACAGCGCCAGCGGCCAAUGGUCGUCCGCGCUAUCAACACGCGACACGUGGUUCGCGCCAACGGUUGGUUGGGCACACCGGACUGUCCAGUGUGCACUGGACAGUGUGCGGUGUGCCAACCAGUCCAAGGCCCAACGGUCGGCUACGCCCGAUAUGGAAGGAGAUCGCGCACCGGACUGCUAUAGUGGUUGUCCGGUGGUGCACCAGACUGUCCGGUGCACCACUCGACAGAAGGCAAGAAUAGCCUUCCAAGUUGAUCUCCAACGGCUCCUAGCUGCCUUGGGGCUAUAAAAGGGACCCCUAGGCGCAUGGAGCAGGAUAUAAAGCAUUCUCUAAGCAUUCUAAGACUCCCAGACUCUGCCUCCAUGCAUUUGAUCGAUUGUGUUAGUGACUUGAGCUUCGUUUGAGUUGUGAACUCACUGUGCUACGUUUCGAGCUCAAGUCUUGGCCUAUGUGCGUGUGUGUGCUGUGGAUUUGGGUAUUGCGUGUGUUGCUCUCCCAUCCUUACUCUUGUGCUUCUUGUGAUCAAAACUUUGUAAGGGCGAGAGGCUCCAACUUGUAGAGAUUCCUCGCAAACGGGAAAAGAUCUCAAAGGAAAAGACCAUGGUAUUCAAGUUGAUCAUCGGAUCACUUGAAAGGGGUUGAGUGCAACCCUCAUCCAUUGGGACGCCACAACGUGGAAGUAGGCAAGUGUUACUUGGCCGAACCACGGGAUAAAAAUCGCGUGUCUCUUGUGUUGCUCUUCUCUGUAAUUGCUUGUGUUCGCAAGAGCUCGCUUCAUAAACUUGAUUAACUCGCACUAACAUCUUUAUAAUCAAGUUUGUAGCUAUUUAGUGUUUGAUUUUAUAGGAUCACCUAUUCACCCCCCCUCUAGGUGCUCUCAAUUGGUAUCAGAGUCGUACUCUUCAUCUAAGGGACUAACCGCCUAAAGAGAUGGAUCCUAAGGGUAAGGGGAUGGUGGUCAACGACAAGGAAAAGGAGUCCAUCUUCAACGAGCCAAGAGACGACAAGCCCACUGACUCAGGCUUGAGUCACAAGAAGAGGGAAGGGAAGAAGAAGAGGCGCAUCAAGAAGAUCAUCUACUACGACAGCGAUGCAUCUUCUUCUUCACCAAGGGACGACGACUUCUCGUCCAAGAAAAGGAUGGUUAAUCAAAACUAUUCCUUUGAUUAUUCUUGUAUUCCGUAUAAUUCGAAUGCUCAUUUACUUUCUAUUCCACUUGGAAAACCACCACACUUUGAUGGAGAGGACUACUCAUUUUGGAGUUAUAAAAUGUGUAGUCAUCUAUUUUCUCUCCAUCCUAGCAUUUGGGAAAUUGUGGAAAAUGGGAUGCAUUUUGAUAGUACGGAUAAUCCUGUGCUUAUUAAUGAACAAAUUCAUAAAAAUGCCCAAGCUACUACUGUCUUGCUAGUGUCACUUUGCAGGGAUGAGUAUAAUAAAGUGAGUGGCUUGGACAACGCUAAGCAAAUCUGGGACACCCUCAAGAUGUCUCAUGAGGGAAACGACGUCACUAUGAUCACCAAGAUAGAACUAGUGGAAGGCGAGUUGGGGAGGUUCGCGAUGAUCAGGGGAGAGGAGCCAACACAGACCUACAACAGGCUCAAGACCUUGGUCAACAAAAUCCAAAGCUACGGGAGCACAAGAUGGACGGAUCAUGACGUCGUCUGACUCAUGCUUAGGUCAUUUACCGUUAUUGAUCCCCAUCUUGUCAACCUUAUUCAUGAAAACCCCAGGUACACCAAGAUGACGCCCGAGGAGAUCCUUGGAAACUUCGUGAGUGGGCGCAUGAUGGUGAAGGAGGCGCGAUACGUGGACGAUGCGCUAAAUGAUCCACUACCCAUCUACGAGCCGCAGCCCAUUGUUCUCAAAGCAACUAGCAGCAAGGAGGCGCUACCAAGCAAUGUAGCACAAGUGGAGGCGGCUGGGCUCAAUGAGGAUGAAAUGGCGCUUAUCAUCAAGCGUUUCAAGACCGUGCUAAAAGGACGCAAGGAAUACCCCAACAAGAAUAAAACAAGGGGAAAGCGCUCCUGCUUCAAAUGCGAUAAGACUGGUCAUUUCAUAGAACAAUGCCUCGAUAACAAUAAUGACCAGGGACAAGAAAAGCACAGGAAGAGGGAGAAGAAGAAGAACUAAAGGAAGGCGAAGGGCGAGGCGCAACUUGGAAAGAAAUGGGAUUCUGACUGCUCUUCAUCCGACUCCGACGAUGAAGGAUUGGCUACCUCAGCCUUUGAUAAUUCUUCGCUCUUCCCCAAUGAACGCCAUACUUGCCUUAUGGCUAAGGAGAAGAAGGUACGCAUUCGAGAUACCCCCAAGUACUCUUCUUCUAGCGAUGAGGAAUCAUCUGAUGACGAAGUAAAUUACACUGAUUUAUUUAAGGGAUUAGAUAGAGGUAAAGUAGACAAAAUUAAUGAAUUAAUUGAUGCCCUUAAUGAAAAGGAUAGAUUACUAGAAAAGCAAGAAGUUAUCGUGUAUGAGGAACAUGAUAAAUUUGUUAGUGUUCAAAAAUCUCUUGCUUUAGAAAUUAAAAGAAAUGAAAUGUUGUCCUCUAAGCUAUCUGCUUGUCAUGAAUCUAUCUCUAGUCUCAAGGAUUUAAAUAAUGAAUUAAAUGCUAAACUAGAGGAAGCAAAUGCAACUAGAUCAUGUGUAGAACAUGUAGUCAUUUGCAAUAGAUGUAAGGACCUUAAUGUUAAUGCCUAUGAUGAACAUCUUGCGUCUAUUGCUAAAUUAAACAAUGAGGUGGCAAGUCUUAAUGCUCAACUUAAGACUUGCAAAGUUGAUUAUGAUAAACUAAAAUUUGCUAGGGAUGCCUACAUUGUUGGUAGACACCCCUCAAUUAAGGAUGGGCUUGGUUUUCAAAAGGAAACCAAGAACUUAACAAGUCAAAGGACUUCCGUUCUCAACAAGGAGAAAGGGAAGGCCCCUAUGGCUAGUAGUCCCCAAAAGAAUCAUGCUUAUAUUUAUGAUAGGAAACGUACUAGGGAUGCUCAUAAUCAUAGAUACUAUGAUCAUGCUGCGAUUGCUUCUAGCUCUACUUAUGAUUAUGGUAGAAAUAGGCCUAGACGUAAUCAUGUUGUGUCUAAUGUGCCUAGGAGAGUUUGCAAUGGUCCUACUACUGUUUAUCAUACUUGCAAUACUUCCUUUGUACUUUUAUGUAAGAAUCCAAAAGUAGUUGCUAAAAAAUUGGGAUCCAAAUGCAAGGUAGAGAAGACUUGUAUUUGGGUUCCAAAAGUUAUUGUGACUAACCUUGUAGGACCCAACAAGAGUUGGUACCUAAAACCCAAGCUUAAAUUGUCUUACAGGUUUAUGCAUCCGGGGGCUCAAGCUGGAUUAUCGACAGCGGAUGCACAACGCACAUGACGGGGGAGAAGAAAAUGUUCACCUCCUACGUGAAAAACAAGGAUUCCCAGGAUUCGAUCAUCUUUGGAGAUGGGAACCAAGGCAAGGUCAAAGGAUUGGGAAAGAUAACCAUCACAUCCGAGCAUUUUAUCUCUAAUGUGUUUUUAGUUGAAUCGCUCGGAUAUAAUUUGUUAUCUAUGAGUCAAUUAUGUAACAUGGGUUAUAAUUGUUUAUUCACAAAUGUAGAUGUAUCUGUCUUUAGAAGGAGUGAUGGUUCAUUAGCUUUUAAGGGUGUAUUAGAUGGCAAGCUCUAUUUAGUUGAUUUUUUGAAAGAGGAUGCCGAUCUAGAUGCAUGCUUAAUCGCUAAGACUAAUAUGGGCUGGCUGUGGCAUCGCCGUCUAGCACAUGUUGGGAUGAAGAACCUUCAUAAGCUUCUAAAGGGAGAUCAUGUGUUAGGACUAACCGAUGUCUGUUUUGAGAAAGACAGACCUUGUGCAGCAUGUCAAGCAGGGAAACAGGUGGGAAGCACUCAUCAUAGCAAGAAUGUGAUGUCGACAUCAAGACCAUUGGAGCUUCUUCACAUGGACCUCUUUGGACCCGUUGCCUACCUCAGCAUCGAGGGAAGUAAGUAUGGUCUUGUAAUUGUUGAUGAUUUUUCCCGCUUCACUUGGGUAUUCGUUUUACAGGAUAAGUCAAAAACCCAAGGGACUCUAAAGCGCUUCCUAAGAAGAGCUCAAAAUGAAUUUGAGCUAAAGGUGAAGAAGAUAAGAAGCGACAAUGGGUCCAAGUUCAAAAAUCUACAAGUCGAAGAGUUUCUUGAGGAGGAAGGCAUCAAGCACGAGUUCUCCGCUCCCUACACACCACAACAAAAUGGUGUGGUAGAGAGGAAGAACAGGACGCUAAUCAACAUGGCGAGAACGAUGCUUGGAGAGUUCAAGAUGCCCGAGCAGUUUUGGUCGGAAGCUGUGAACACAACUUGCCACACCAUAAACCGGCUCUAUCUGCAUCGCCUCCUCAAGAAGACCUCCUACGAACUCCUUACUGGUAACAAACCCAACGUCUCUUACUUUCGUGUAUUAGGGUUUUUACUAGGAUAUGACUCAAAUACAAAGGCGUAUAGGGUCUUUAACAAAUUAUCGGGAUUAGUUGAAGUCUCUAGCGACGUUGUAUUUGAUGAGACUAAUGGCUCUCCAAGAGAGCAAGUUGAUCUUGAUGACAUAGAUGAAGAUGAAGUUCCGACGGUCGCAAUGCGCACGAUGGAGGUAGGAGAUGUGCGACCACUGGAACUGCAGGAACAAGAUCAACCCUCUUCUUCGACACUGGUGCAUGAUCAAGGGGGAGCACAGGAAGAACAAGUUAUGGAGGAAGAAGCACCACGGAUCCCUCCAACUCAAGUCCGAGCGUCGAUCCAAAGACAUCACCCCGUUGGUCAAAUUUUGGGUGACAUCAGCAAGGGAGUAACCACUCGCUCACGAUUAGCUACUUUUGUGAGCAUUACUCGUUUGUCUCUUCUAUUGAGCCUUUCAGGUUAGAAGAAGCCUUGCAGGAUCCGGACUAGGUGUUGGCCAUGCAGGAAGAGCUCAACAACUUCAAAAGGAAUGAAGUCUGGAGCCUGGUGCCAUGUCCAAAGCAAAACGUUGUGGGAACCAAGUGGGUGUUCCGCAACAAGCAAGACGAGCACGGGGUGGUGAUAAGAAACAAGGCUCGACUUGUGGCAAAAGGUUAUGCUCAAGUCACAGGUUUGGAUUUCGGGGAGACUUUUGCUCCUGUGGCUAGGCUAGAGUCAAUUCGAAUUCUAUUAGCCUAUGUCGCUCACCAUUCCUUUAGGCUGUUUCAAAUGGACGUGAAGAGCGCUUUCCUCAAUGGGCCAAUCAAGGAGGAGGUAUACGUGGAACAACCCCCUGGCUUUGAGGAUGACAGGUAUCCCGACCAUGUAUAUAAGCUCUCUAAGGCGCUCUAUGGACUUAAGCAAGCCCUAAGAGCAUGGUAUGAAUGCCUUAUCGAUUUUCUAAUUGCUAAUGCUUUCAAGGUUGGGAAAGCUGAUCCCACUCUUUUUACAAAGACUUGUGAUGCUGAUCUAUUUGUUUGCCAAAUAUAUGUCAAUGACAUUAUAUUUGGUUCUACUAACCAAAAGUCUUGUGAGGAGUUUAGCAGGGUGAUGAUGCAAAAGUUCGAGAUGUCCAUGAUGGGCGAGUUGACUCACUUUCUUGGAUUCCAAGUGAAGCAACUCAAGGACGGCACCUUCAUCUCCCAAACAAAGUAUACCCAAGAUCUUUUCAAGAGAUUUGGAAUGAAGGAUGCUAAGUCCGCGAAGGCACCAAUGGGGACUGACGGACAUCUCGACCUCAACAAAGGAGGUAAGUCUGUUGAUCAAAAGGCAUAUCGGUCUAUGAUAAGUUCAUUACUUUAUCUUUGUGCUAGUAGACCAGACAUUUUGCUUAGUGUAUGCAUGUGUGCUAGAUUUCAAUCCGACCCCAAGGAGUGUUACCUUGUGGCCGUUAAGCGAAUUCUUAGGUAUUUAGUUUCUACGCCUUGCUUCAGGAUUUGGUAUCCAAAGGGGUCUACCUUUGACUUAAUUGGAUACUCAGACUUCGACUAUGCCGAGUGCAAGGUUGAUAGGAAGAGCACAUCAGGGACGUGCCAAUUUCUAGGAAGGUCCCUGGUGUCCUGGAGUUCCAAGAAACAAACAUCUGUUGCCCUAUCCACCGCUGAGGUCGAGUACGUUGCCGUAGGACAGUGUUGCGUGCAACUGCUUUGGAUGAGGCAAACCCUUCGAGACUUUGGCUAUAAUCUGAGCAAAGUCCCACUCCUAUGUGACAAUGAGAGUGCAAUCUGCAUGGCGGAUAAUCUUGUUGAACAUAGCCGCAUUAAGCACAUAGACAUCCGACAACACUUCCUGAGAGACCACCAGCAAAAGGGAGAUAUCGAGGUUUACCACAUUAGCACUGAGAACCAGCUAGCCGAUAUCUUCACCAAGCCUUUAGAUGAGAAAAGGUAUUGCAGGUUGCGUAGUGAGCUGGAUGUCUUAGAUUCGUGUAACUUGGAUUGAUCUAGAGCAUACAUGUGUUUCAUGCUUUUGGUCAUGUUACUUUGAGUUUUUACCUCAUUUAUUGUUUAUUUGUGGUGUUCAAGUUAUACAAGUCAUCCCCGGACCUCACAAGUUCGUAUGCAAAUGAUGCACAUGUUUAGGGGGGAGAUGUGCUACAACUUGACCCCUUGAGACUAACUUGUUUGCUUGAGUACACUUGAUGUAGUCUCGAAGGUACGUUGAAAGGGAAAAUGAACUUGGAGACGACAAGACUUCCACUGCACUCCGGUAUUAGUGUAUUUAAUUCCAUGUUCAUACUUGUGCUCUCAUUGCCUUUCUGCUCUUAAUUGACAUUUUGGUGAGGCAAUGAGGUUAAAGGGCCAAGAAUGACCCCGUUUUGGUGCUUAAUGCCAAAGGGGGAGAAAUUAAGGCCAAAGCAAAAUGGAUCAGCCAACCACUUGUGAAUUUUGAAAAUAGAGGAGUUAGAAUUUGGUUUUUGUCAAAAUACUCUUAUUGCAAAAUUUGGUCUUUUAUGGGGGAGAAUUUUGAUUAUGGGAAAAGGGGGAGUUUUUGGCACUUGAUCAAUUUUACUCUUGGAAUAUCUCUCGAUUUGCCCAAACAAGGGUGUUUGACUUAGAGAUAGGAAAAGGAAUUUGAUUUGCAAAAACAAACCAAGUGGUGGCAAAGAGUGAUCCAAAUAUGCCAAAUCUUAAGUAAAAAGGGAAUUGGUCUUCAUUUGCAUUGAUGUUGCACUUCUUUUGUUGCUUUUUGAUGUGUUGGCAUAAAUCACCAAAAAGGGGGAGAUUGAAAGGGCCAUUUCUAUAAGUAUUUUGGUGAUUAGAUGUCCAACACAUAUUAAGUAAGUUCUUAUGUGCCAAAUGAGUGAGUAGUGUGAAAUCAAGAACAAGGUAUGUUUCUAGAUUUAGUGAAUUGUUUUUGCAUACUAACAUGGUUAUCUAAGUGCUAGAAACAGUGCCAAGAAAAAGAAGAUUUGAAUUGGAGAAGAGUUGACAAAGUACAGCCAACAACAGCUCGGGCCUGGCACACCGGACUGUCCGGUGGUGCACCGGACAGUGUCUGGUGCCCCAGGCUGGUCAACGGUGAACUAGCUGCUCUCGGGAAAAGAGAAAGGCGACGUGGCUAUAAUUCACUGGACUGUCCGGUGGUGCACCAGACUGUCCGGUGAGUCAACGGCGCCAGCGGCCAACGGUCGUCCGCGCUAUCAACGCGCGACACGUGGUCCGCGCCAAUGGUCGGUUGGGCACAUCGGACUGUCCGGUGUGCAGCGGACAGUGUGCGGUGCGCCAACCGGUCCCGAGGCCCAACGGUCGGCUGCGCCCAAUAUGGAAGGAGAUCACGCACCGGACUGCUACAGUGGUUGUCCGGUGCACCACUCGAAAGAAGGCAAGAAUAGCCUUCCAAGGCUAUCUCCAACGGAUCCUAGCUGCCUUGGGGCUAUAAAAGGGACCCCUAGGCGCAUGGAGCAGGAUACAAAGCAUUCUCUAAGCAUUCUAAGACUCCCAGACUCCGCCUCCGCGCAUUUGAUCGAUUGUGUUAGUGACUUGAGCUCCGUUUGAGUUGUGAACUCACUGUGCUACGUUUUGAGCUCAAGUCUUGGCCAGUGUGCGUGUGUGUGCUGCAGAUUUGGGUAUUGCGUGUGUUGCUCUCCCAUCCUUACUGUUGUGCAUCUUGUGAUCAAAACUUUGUAAGGGCGAGAGGCUCCAACUUGUGGAGAUUCCUCGCAAACGGAAAAAGAUCUCAAAGGAAAAGACCGUGGUAUUCAAGUUGAUCAUCAGAUCACUUGAAAGGGGUUGCGUGCAACCCUCGUCCAUUGGGACGCCACAACGUGGAAGUAGGCAAGUGUUACUUGGCCGAACCAUGGGAUAAAAAUCGCGUGUCUCUUAUGUUGCUCUUCUCUGUGAUUGCUUGUGUUCGCAAGAGCUCGCUUCAUAAACUUGAUUAACUCGCACUAACAUCUUUAUAAUCAAGUUUGUAGCUAUUUAGUGUUUGAUUUUACAGGAUCACCUAUUCACCCCCCUCUAGGUGCUCUCACUUUGGUCAUCAGCCGGGAGCGCUUCCAUGGCCGACUUGAUGAUGUUGGUGGUGGAGAUCUUGGUGUGAUCCUUAGAACCGGCCAUCUAUGGGCCGAUUUUUAGCAGAUCUAGACACCUAGUCCCCAGCGGAGUCACCAAAAGUGUGUUGGUGCCUUUUUGGGGCGCCAAUCACUACGUGAGAAUCGGCGGUGGUGCUCUCUGCACAGGCGCGGAUGGUCUGCGACCUGACGCAGGGCUAGGGUUCCCUGCCUAAUGGCCGGACGGUUCGCACGUGCAUAGGGGCGGCGAAGGUCGCCGGCGGCACCUGGAUCUCACUCCCGGGAGGGACCCCGUCGGGGAGGAGAUAUCCCAGGUGUUGUCUAAGCUCGACAGGCCUACCUAGACUCCUCUAAUCGACGUAGAGUCGAAGAGAAGCGGAGAAUUUGAGGAUUGGGAUACUAAACUAGAGCUACUCCUAAUGCAUAAGGUAAAAACGAGAAAUAACCUUGAUUUGAUCGAUUGUUUUGGGGUUUUAAUCAACCGUAGCCCUUCAUCUAUAUAAAGGGGGAGGUCUGGACCCGUUACAAGUUGUUCCCCGAGCUAAUCCCGUGGUUUUAGCUAACAAAUCCUGCGACAAACUCGGAACCCUAAUUGAUUCUGCGCACACGCGGACCGUCCGACCUCGAGGCCGGACCGUCCGACCUCGAGGCCGGACCGUCCGCGCAAUUUGGUGUAUUAAAAACAACAUAACGAUGUUGAAACAACCAUAUAAAAAGGUUAAGAUUAAAUUAUCUCUAAAUUUACUACAACCAUAACUCCAAGUUCUAUAAACACAACUUAAAGAUUAUGUAAACACAAAUUCUCACAACCCCUUUAAUUUUUAUCAUAUACAAGAAUAUAGUGAAAUGAUAUUUUCUUAGCCUAAUGCUCUUAAUAAGUGCUCCAAAUUGCUCCUUAUAAAUUUUUGAUAAGACCUUUGCACUACCUAAAUUCGGCUAUUUGCCGAGUGCCAAGUGGUUUGUCGAGGGUUUUUCGGAUACUCGACAAAGAAGCUCUUUGUCAAGUGCCAAAUAAAAAACGCUAGGCAAAAAAACACUCGGCAAAUAGUUUCUUUGCUGAUUGUUUUUUACACUAAGCAAAGAGCUUCUUUGCUGAGUAUCACAUUCGUAUUUAAAAACAAAUUCAGAUGCAUCUCAUAUGUGUGUCAGGAUCAAAUUUCACAUAUAUGAUGACUCGGUGUAUAGAAACUAGUAUCACGACUUUAUUGUAUAAGUAUAACAUUUUUACAAAAAUAACUAAAUAAAGAAACUAAAUGACGACGACGAUCUCGGUAACAAACCACAUGCAGGUCGACCGAAGCGACGACAUCCUAGAUGUGACGGAACCUCCCAAGUAAUUAGGCCUACCUACAGUUGUCCUUGUCCAACAGACAUCAGACAACCCUGUAGAUGUUCCUGAAUCACUUGACAAGUUCGGUAUCUUCUUUUCUCACCUUUCCCAAGAGCGUUUCACCCGUCUUGCAGACAUUACAGAACAUCGGAGAUAUAGAAAUGCGGAAGCAAUUAUAUAAACUUACAUUUAUUUAGAAAGUAAGAUCAAGUUAUUUAUUACAGACCAGAGUUAUAAAACGAGUGCAGGGUAGUAUUAUUACACAUACCAGGGGAGGCAAAAACUCCUCCCGAUAACUAUCAAACAAAGGUUCUUAUGGAGGACCACGUCCUCCCGCAUCUUCACUCUUGUUUUUCUUCAUUUGACACCACCUUGGAGCAAAAGCAACAAAAAUUUGUCGCUUCCUCACCUAAAAACAACGGAGGGAUAAACCCUGAGUAUGGAAUUACUCAGCAAGUCUUACCCGACUAAGGAAAAGACUCUCAAGGGUAUGCUGGAUAAUUAGGAAUCAAGGAGAGGCUUUAGCAAAAAUCAACUUAGAUACUUUUGCAGAAAUAGCUUACUAAAGUGAGUCCUUACUUUCAAUAUUUUAACACCAUAUUAAGUAUUAAUUGACUCUAUUUGCAUCUAGUCUAAUUUCACCAUCUCAUCAAUACAACAUCAUUUUUAUUCAUAAUGUUCACAUCCUGACUUAGGUUGUAGGGAAGUGACCAAGUCUUCAUAACCGCGAAGGUACGGCGAUCUGAAUCGAUUAUACUCAGCUGAGGAUCUCCAAUCACACGACAUAUGUAGCACUUAACCCUUGCAUAUGUCAACCCGCCACCGGGGUUCUUAAGACCAGAUCAGGUUCACGCAAACCGAGAGCACAGAUACACCACCGUCCAGCCUCUUGCCACGGAGGGUACACGCUACUCUCGCCACCGCUCCACGCCCAUUUCGUGUUAUCUUAUUCUGGCCUUAGUCUUCCCGAGGCAAGGCUUACCCAUGACGAGGCAUGUGACCAGUUAAAGGGUCCUCGAUCAGCACGCCUACAUACACGUUCAAUCCUUAAUCAACCUGGGUAGAACAUCACCUGUUCCUAACCCAAGUCUCAAUUUAAGUAUUCCCAUCCUUAGGAUUGUUUCUGUUCCUUAGGAUGAGAAGAGCAUCAUAGGGAACUUUACAGUAAGAUCCCACCAUUGCUCCAAAUGAAAAUAUUCUUGCAGGUAGAAGUCAUCCUUUCUCGAGCUAGGCUAAGGACAACCUCUAUCCACAAGAUCUGAGCAAGGCUAAGCAUUUUUGUAAAUCAUAUUUUGAUACUUCACUGAAGUAUCUAUAAAGGUAUGGAUAUCAAGGAAAGCAAUGCAUCAAAGGGUUCCAAGCAACUCCUAUGAACCUAAUGCACAUUUCAUUAGACUUAAAGUGUGCGAAAAUUAUUUAAAAACACAAGGAAAGGGUUGCAUGCACCGGGGCUUGCCUUCGUUAGUAGGUGAGUCAGGCUCGGACCCGCAGAUGUCGAAGUAGAGCCAAGUCCCUGCCUGAGAUUCCAAAGGUGCUGGUGUCUUCUCUUCAGUCACUUCACUCUCUUCUUCGUUUUCUAAAUAUAACCAUAUAGGUAUAUAUAUAAGAAUGAAUGCCAUGUAAUGCUUAUGAGAGUGCAUAGAUAAUAAAGGUUUAUUAACUAAGUUUUGAAUACAACUUUCCUUCACGGAACUCCGAGAACUUAGGGUUUCCGGAGUCAGUAAAGGAGUUCAAAGGGCAGGGGUAGGGUUUGGGUUAUAAGUAUCAAACAAUGUCCAAAUCAUAUCAAACUCUACCCAAGGUCUCAAAAUAUUGUUGAGAGAUUACCCUAAAAAUUUAGUGAAUUUUGGAUUUAUUAUAUAAUCUCUAAAAAUCCAGAAACAUGGUUUUUGGAUGAUUUAAAUACUCUAUAAUUUCCUAUUUGGACUAAAAAUCAUGAAACUAUUUUUAUUAAAUUCUAUAGGAAAUUAGAAGCCCAUUAAAAUUGGUUUGGUAUUUUUAUCAUUUUUCUUGAAUUCUUUAUGGAUUUCUCAACUUUCUUAGAAAAAGAAAAAGAAAAACGUUCAAUAGUAUUGGGCCAAAUUGUGCCCAACCGGCCCAGUUUAAGCAGAUUACAGGGGCGCGCCCGCGGCAGCGCAGCCUGUUUUGCAUAAAAGUCCUUGCCAGAGUUAAUAUUAGGAACGAAGUCCUCAACUGAACUCUGCGAGUCACUGACAUUUUACUUCUGGCCCCUUCUAGGUUUCUCGUCUUUACAACGUGAGUCCCUGACGUCGCCGGCGGCGCGGACGCAUUCCCACCGCGACACAACGGCGGAGGAGAGCCCGGGCAGCCGUUGGAUAGCGACCAGACCAAAUCCUAACCUACCCCGAGCAUCUAUAGGCAUGGAUUUGACUCACUAACUUACAGAGUGCCAUGACCACGUUCAAGGCGGGAGCCCAGUACCGCGACGUUCACCCAAAUGGCUCCGGCACAGGAUGUUUCAAAUUGAGGGCACAUGGAGCACGAGUAGGGUGCGGGAAACACGACGCUCACAAGAAUUGCCCCUGGGCCAACUGAACUUUGAGUGGGUCAUCACCAGGACAGUUCACGCGGUGUCAAGCCCGUGUUCCGACCAAACCAAGACCGUAAGGACCAAACGGACUUCUCGGUGAGCUUCACCAAGGUACGGGGAUGCUAGAACAUCAGCUUGUGGGGGUUAAGACAUACCACAGUCGUCUGGCCACGUGAAGCCGAGGUGUUGCCGGGGUGGUCAUCAAAUAAGUUUGGUGCCUUGAUCGAUGGAACUUGGGUGUGUCUAGGGUAUGAUUUGGGGGUGUAGUACUACUAAUCAUGGCUGCUCAACAUGGUUGAUGGUGAACUAAGGAUCACUGGUUGGGUUCCUAC
rnacentral:lncRNA from 1 species